GCUCCUACCGAUUGAAUGGUCCGGUGAAGUGUUCGGAUCGCGGCGACGGGGGCGGUUCGCCGCCCCCGACGUCGCGAGAAGUCCAUUGAACCUUAUCAUUUAGAGGAAGGAGAAGUCGUAACAAGGUUUCCGUAGGUGAACCUGCAGAAGGAUCAUUG
rnacentral:ncRNA from 1 species